rnacentral:rRNA from 1 species
AGCAGCCGCGGUAAUUCCAGCUCCAAUAGCGUAUAUUAAAGUUGUUGCAGUUAAAGCUCGUAGUUGAAUUUCGGGAUUGGCGCAUCGGUCGUGCCUCACGGGGUAUGAACUGGUGCAGUCAAUUUCUCACCUUCUGGAGAACCGCGAUGUCCUUAAUUGGAUGCCGCGGGGAACCAGGACCUUUACUUUGAAAAAUUAGAGUGUUUAAAGCAGGCAUUUUUGCUUGAAUACAUUAGCAUGGAAUAAUAAGAUAGGACGGCAUGGUUCUAUUUUGUUGGUUUCUAGGACCACCGUAAUGAUUAAUAGGGAUAGUUGGGGGCAUUAGUAUUCAAUUGUCAGAGGUGAAAUUCUUGGAUUUAUUGAAGACUAACUACUGCGAAAGCAUUUGCCAAGGAUGUUUUCAUUAAUCAAGAACGAAAGUUAGGGGAUCGAAGACGAUCAGAUACCGUCGUAGUCUUAACCAUAAACUAUGCCGACUAGGGAUCAGACGAUGUUAAUUUUUAAUGUACUGUUUGGCUAC